GUCAACGCCCUAAACGAUGUAGACUGGUUGUUGGGGUUUGACACUCUCAGUAACGAAGCUAACGCGUGAAGUAGACCGCCUGGGGAGUACGGCCGCAAGGUUAAAACUCAAAGGAAUUGACGGGGACCCGCACAAGCGGUGGAUUAUGUGGAUUAAUUCGAUGCAACGCGAAAAACAUUACCUACCCUUGACAUGUCCGAGAGCCCGUAGAGAUAUGGGUGUGCCCGAAAGGGAAUCGGAACACAGGUGCUGCAUGGCUGUCGU
rnacentral:rRNA from 1 species